AGUCCGGCAAACAGGUCUGCAGGGAGCUUAGCUGUGCACAGCUGGCCCAGCUCACGCCCCGGUGGCUGCUCUCCAUCUCCUGAAGCCACCCAGGUGCCACGCUUUGCAUGCGAGCUGCCGCACGAGCCCAGCUGAACACUAGAGGGAAGAGUUUUCCAGGAGUGAUUUGACUACAGGACUUCCAGAUAAAGCGAAGACAAACAGCCUGCAACAAGCACGCAGCGAGCAGAUCAAAGCCCCUGCUCUUGCCUCUGUAUUUUGUUACACGCUUCAGCGGAGACAGAGACAUUUCAGCUGUCACAUCUCAAGUUAUCACCCACUCAGUUCUGGCUGUGCGAGGACGAAACGCUGCUGUGAGACUAUGUGAAACCUUCCCGUGUCGAAGCAGAAGGAGCACGGACUCCUCAGAUGCUUUCCCAGCAGCUGCAGAUCCUUCCCGAGGACCCCCCGAGCCUCUCGGUGCGGAUCCCAACUCACACGCUGCGUGAUUACAGCCCCCCUUGGGAAAGGUGCAGGGUGCCACACGGCAGACAGGAGAUGUGCUGUCAGGCUGCUGCCGCUCAGCUUUGGUUUCACACCAGCAGUCACCAGGCUCACCGCACCACAGCUUCAUCAGCCCGGGUUUCACAAAGCCGCCUGCGAGCUGAGCUGCGGGGUGGGGAGAUCCCCCCCGGGCCGUGUCCCACGUCCUUGUGUGCUGCGGAGCUACAGCGGGGCAGGAUCUGCCACGGGAGCCUGUUAGAUAACGCUGCUGCGCUCAGGAAAGCCAAGCGCAGUACUGCACCCCCUGCUUAAACAAACAACAACAAAACUCGUCUGUCUGACCAGCAGCCAGACGCGGAGCAGUAAAAUUCAGGCAUUCGGAGCAGCGAGAAGGCAGGCUGCUUUGCCACCUAACACUUCCCCACAGCCCACGCUUUUUGUCCUGCCGAGCAGCAAUUCGGAGCAGCCACUUGGUGCCCACAGAAAUAAGUGACCCUUCCCUUCCCAGCUCAAGCUCUCUCUGCAGCUUGGGGGUUUUCCAUACCUCUUGCUUUUUCUCCCCCCUCUGGUUCAGCGCUCACUAAAGCCCGUGCGUUUACUCGUUCCAAAAGAGAGCUGCCUCGAUGUGCUCCUUGCCCCCGGCAGUAUUCCCUGCCCACAUCGGGUCUGCAAGCAGCAGCUCUGCUCCUGACGCCAGCGGGCUGCCUCCCCGGCAGCUCGGUCCCGGCCACGUCCCCAGCUCAGCAGCACGACCUCAGCUACCGAUCUGGCCUCAUUUGCCAAGGACCUGAAAACCACCGAACAAGCUCUGCUGGUCUGCCCGCACUCCUCAGCGGGCGCAGCGUCUGCACGAACGUCAGUCCACGUGCUGGCACUCUUGGCUGGAAUUUACGGCCAGAGGAAGUCUGCGCUUCAGCCGAGAUAGCGAGCUCCGCGCGCACACCGAGCGCGCCUCCUCCCCGGCUCUCGCUGACCACAGAGCCGCUUCUCAGCUCCAAAAAUAAAACCUACAAGAAUGUGCCCAAAUAAGUAAGUUGACAGAAAAUAAUUUUUCCUAAUAUAGUAAGACCACAUGCAUUUCCACCCUGUGAAAUAAAACCGGGUUUUUCCCUAUCUCCAAAGCGUUCCCAGAUGCAGGUCCCGACGAAGACAACAGCCAGAUGCCACCUCAGAAGCCACGCAGCAGAGGCACAAACCGGCCCGAGGCGUUGUCACUGGCUGCUGACCCACCUAGGACGUGUCAGCUCACGAAGGGCAAGCAAUUAGCCACAGCUCGUGAGACCAUAUGCGGACUGCAAACCCUCCAGGGACUGCAAACAGGGAGCCCCAGGAUGCCCACAGCAGCACGCAGUUAUGCCAUCACUUUCCAGGCAGGGAUGUGUUUAAAAAAAAUAAAUAAAUCAC